rnacentral:rRNA from 1 species
GCGAAUGGUGGAUGCCUUGACUGGUAAAGGCGAUGAAGGACGUACUAGACUGCGAUAAGCUACGGGGAGCUGUCAAGAAGCUUUGAUCCGUAGAUUUCCGAAUGGGGCAACCCAAUGUAUAGAGAUAUACAUUACCUAUAUAGGAGCGAACGAGGGGAAUUGAAACAUCUUAGUACCCUCAGGAAAAGAAAUCAAUAGAGAUUGCGUCAGUAGCGGCGAGCGAAAGCGCAAGAGGGCAAACCCAGUGCUUGCACUGGGGGUUGUAGGACUGCAAUGUGCAAGAGGUAAGUUUAG